GUGAAGCGGUGAAGGAGGAGGCGCCAUGGAGGCGCUGGCCGUCACCGCCCGGCUCUGUGGGCCGCAGUUGGAGCGUUACGGGCGCUGUGUGGCCGCCAGCCCCGGCAGCUGGCACCAGGAUUGUCACCAACUGUCCCUGAGUGUCACCGAGUGCGCCUCCGCCCACCCCCUGGUGCGCCGGAUCCGCCGGGAUUGCUCCGAUUCCUUCGGCGCCUUCGAGCGCUGCCUGCGGGAGCGGCCGCGGAGCGCGACCGAGUGCGGCCCCCAGGUGAGGGAGUUCCUCACCUGCGCCCAGAGCGUCACCGGGGACACGCCCAGGGACACACCCACAGGUCAGACAGGUGAGGCUGGAGCCCCAAAAAGGGAAUUUGGAGCCGGAAUUUUGGGAUAAAAUUGGGAUUUUAUUCCCUGGACACGCCCAGGGACACGCCCAGAGACACACCCACAGGUGAGACAGGUGAGGCUGGAACCCCAAAAAGGGAAUUUGGAGCCGGAAUUUUGGGAUAAAAUUGGGAUUUUAUUCCCUGGACACACCCACAGGUGAGGCUUGAACCCCAAAAAAGGAAUUUGGAGCCGGAAUUUUGGGAUAAAAUUGGGAUUUUAGCCAGGGACACACCCACAGGUGAGGCUGGAACCCCAAAAAGGGAAUUUGGAGCCGGAAUUUUGGGAUAAAAAUGGGAUUUUACCCCUCAGGAAACACUGGAAAUUCAGAAUUUUGGGAUCCGAAUUCCCUCAAAUCCCUCAGUGAAAAAGAGGAAAUUCGGGAUGGAAUUUUAGGAUCAAAAUGUGAAUUUUUGGGUUUUUUUUUUUGCCUUUUUUUUUCCUCUCCCCAGAGAAUCCCAGGAAUU